GGGCCGUUAGCUCAAUUGGUAGAGCAACUGACUCUUAAUCAGUAGGUUGGGGGUUCGAUUCCCUCACGGCUCACCA
rnacentral:tRNA from 2 species